CCUACGGGUGGCAGCAGUGGGGAAUAUUGGACAAUGGGGGGAACCCUGAUCCAGCCAUGCCGCGUGUGUGAAGAAGGCCCUCGGGUUGUAAAGCACUUUCAGUGAGGAAGAACGCCUGGUGGUUAAUACCCAUCAGGAAAGACAUCACUCACAGAAGAAGCACCGGCUAACUCCGUGCCAGCAGCCGCGGUAAUACGGAGGGUGCGAGCGUUAAUCGGAAUUACUGGGCGUAAAGCGCGCGUAGGUGGCUUGAUAAGCCGGUUGUGAAAGCCCCGGGCUCAACCUGGGAACGGCAUCCGGAGCUGUCAAGCUAGAGUGCAGGAGAGGAAGGUAGAAUUCCCGGUGUAGCGGUGAAAUGCGUAGAGAUCGGGAGGAAUACCAGUGGCGAAGGCGGCCUUCUGGACUGACACUGACACUGAGGUGCGAAAGCGUGGGUAGCAAACAGGAUUAGAUACCCUUGUAGGC
rnacentral:rRNA from 1 species